CAAGUCGAACGAGAAAGGGGAGCAAUCCCUGAGUAAAGUGGCGCACGGGUGAGUAACACGUGACUAACCUACCCUGGAGUGGGGGAUAACUGAGGGAAACCUUAGCUAAUACCGCAUAACACCUACGGGUCAAAGGAGCAAUUCGCUUCAGGAGGGGGUCGCGGCCGAUUAGUUAGUUGGCGGGGUAAUGGCCCACCAAGACGAUGAUCGGUAUCCGGCCUGAGAGGGCGCACGGACACACUGGAACUGAAACACGGUCCAGACUCCUACGGGAGGCAGCAGUGGGGAAUUUUGCGCAAUGGGGGAAACCCUGACGCAGCAACGCCGCGUGGAGGAUGAAGUACUUCGGUACGUAAACUCCUUUCGAUCGGGACGAUUAUGACGGUACCGAGAGAAGAAGCCCCGGCUAACUUCGUGCCAGCAGCCGCGGUAAUACGAGGGGGGCGAGCGUUGUUCGGAAUUAUUGGGCGUAAAGGGUGCGUAGGCGGUUUGGUAAGUCUGAUGUGAAAUCUAUGGGCUCAACUCAUAGUCUGCAUCGGAAACUGCCGGGCUUGAGUGUGGGAGAGGUGAGUGGAAUUUCCGGUGUAGCGGUGAAAUGCGUAGAUAUCGGAAGGAACACCUGUGGCGAAAGCGGCUCACUGGACCACAACUGACGCUGAUGCACGAAAGCUAGGGGAGCAAACAGGAUUAGAUACCCUGGUAGUCCUAGCCCUAAACGAUGACUGCUUGGUGUGACGGGUACCCAAUCCCGCCGUGCCGUAGCUAACGCGUUAAGCAGUCCGCCUGGGGAGUACGGUCGCAAGGCUGAAACUCAAAGGAAUU
rnacentral:rRNA from 1 species